rnacentral:rRNA from 1 species
AUUGAACGCUGGCGGCAUGCCUCACACAUGCAAGUCGAACGGCAGCGCGGGCUUCGGCCUGGCGGCGAGUGGCGGAGGGGUGAGUAAUGCAUCGGAACGUGCCCAGGAGUGGGGGAUAACGUAGCGAAAGUUACGCUAAUACCGCAUACGUACUGAGGUAGAAAGCGGGGGAUCGAAUGACCGAGCGCUCAUGGAGCGGCCGGUGUCGGAUUAGCUAGUUGGUGAGGUAAAAGCUCACCAAGGCGACGAUCCGUAGCUGGUCUGAGAGGACGACCAGCCCCACUGGGACUGAGACACCGCCCAGACUCCUACGGGAGGCAGCAGUGGGGAAUCUUGGACAAUGUGGGAACCCCUGAUCCAGCAAUGCCGCGUGUGGGAUGAAGGCCCUCGGGUUGUAAACCACUUUUGGCAGGAAAGAAAUCGCCUGUGCUAAUACCAUGGGCGGAUGACGGUACCUGCAGAAUAAGCCCCGGCUAACUACGUGCCAGCCGCCGCCGUAA